rnacentral:rRNA from 1 species
AGAAAAGAUCUCGCAAAGAUAUCUUGGCUCCGUCACAAAAAAAAUGUAACAAAAUGACAAUUUUGUGUUUAUUGGCAAAAUCCCGUAAAAUCCAACUAUUUUUUGAACACAUUUUGCCCCCGAAGCCCUUCCGGGGGGGGGGACUCCGCCUGGGGUCUCACG